GUUGGGAAGAGGAAGAAAAAGAGCAUCUAAGAGCAUUAGGCAUGGGAACAUGGAGGAAAGCCUCAGCCAUUAUUUCCCUCUAUGUUCCUGUGUUUUCCCAGUGCCUCCCAUGCCUAUUGUUCUCAGGUGUUCCAUCCUCUUCCUUGGCUUG
rfam:Oryza punctata chromosome 4, whole genome shotgun sequence.